rnacentral:rRNA from 1 species
GUGCCAGCCGCCGCGGUAACACGUAGGAUUCUAGCGUUAUCCGAAUUUACUGGGCGUAAAGCGUGUGCAGGCGGUUUGGUAAGUUGGAUGUGAAAGCUCCUGGCUCAACUGGGAGAGGCCGUUCAAAACUACCAGACUAGAGGACAGUAGAGGGAGAUGGAAUUUCCGGUGUAGUAGUGAAAUGCGUAGAUAUCGGAAGGAACACCAGUGGCGAAGGCGGUCUCCUGGACUGUAUCUGACGCUUAGACACGAAAGCUAGGGUAGCGAAUGGGAUUAGAAACCCUCGUAGUCC